rnacentral:rRNA from 1 species
GACGAACGCUGGCGGCGUGCCUAAUACAUGCAAGUUGAGCGAUGAAGAUUGGUGCUUGCACCAAUUUGAAGAGCAGCGAACGGGUGGGUAACGCGUGGGGAAUCUGCCUUUGAGCGGGGGACAACAUUUGGAAACGAAUGCUAAUACCGCAUAAUAACUUUAAACAUAAGUUUUAAGUUUGAAAGAUGCAAUUGCAUCACUCAAAGAUGAUCCCGCGUUGUAUUAGCUAGUUGGUGAGGUAAAGGCUCACCAAGGCGAUGAUACAUAGCCGACCUGAGAGGGUGAUCGGCCACAUUGGGACUGAGACACGGCCCAAACUCCUACGGGAGGCAGCAGUAGGGAAUCUUCGGCAAUGGACGAAAGUCUGACCGAGCAACGCCGCGUGAGUGAAGAAGGGUUUCGGAUCGUAAAACUCUGUUGGUAGAGAAGAACGUUGGUGAGAGUGGAAAGCUCAUCAAGUGACGGUAACUACCCAGAAAGGGACGGCUAACUACGUG